AUGUGAUCGUCUCUCGCAUAUCAAUAAGCGGAGGAAAAGAAACUAACAAGGAUUCCCUUAGUAACGGCGAGGUGAAGCGGGAAGAGCUCAAAUUUGAAAUCUUCAAGGUUUUACCUUGACGAAUUGUAGUUUAAAGAAGUGUUUUCUGUUGAAGUUUUGGUAAAAGUUCUUUGGAAUAGGACAUCAUAGAGGGUGAGAAUCCCGUAUUUGACCAUUAUUUUCAGCUGUGUGAUACACUUUCAAAGAGUCGGAUUGUUUGGGAAUGCAGUCCAAAAUGGGUGGUAAAUUUCAUCUAAAGCUAAAUAUUGGCGAGAGACCAAUAGCGAACAAGUACCGUGAGGGAAAGAUGAAAAGAACUUUGAAAAGAGAGUUAAACAGUACGUGAAAUUGUCAAAAGGGAAGCGUUUGACACCAGUGUUGUUUUCUCGAAAAUCAAUUAAAAAGAGUUAGAUUUUGUUGUGUAUUGACCUUAACAGCUUGCAUUUCAAUUUUCUUGCUUUUUUUAAUGCACUUUUCGUUUAACAAGUCAACAUCAGUUUCUUUUGUUGUAAAAAGGUCAUUGGAAGGUGGCUUUCUUUUCGGAGAAAGUGUUUAUAGCCUUUGACUCCUGCAAUCGGAGAGACUGAGGUCUGCAGCGUAGAUCCUUCGGGGUUAGAUACAUUUGUGCUAAGUUAUAGCUUUUUAUAGACAACUUGUUGACUAUGAUUAGUCUUGUAGCUUACUCGCUUAUGCUAUUUUACCUACGCUUAGGAUGUUGAAGAUGUAGCACAUCAU
rnacentral:rRNA from 1 species